CCUACGGGUGGCAGCAGUGGGGGAUAUUGCACAAUGGGGGGAACCCUGAUGCAGCGACGCCGCGUGGGUGAAGGAGUGCUUCGGCAUGUAAAGCCCUAUCGGCAGGGAAGAAGCAAGACGGUACCUGACUAAGAAGCCCCGGCUAACUACGUGCCAGCAGCCGCGGUAAUACGUAGGGGGCAAGCGUUAUCCGGAUUUACUGGGUGUAAAGGGUGCGUAGGUGGCAGGGCAAGUCAGAUGUGAAAGCCCGGGGCUCAACCCCGGUACUGCAUUUGAAACUGUCCAGCUGGAGUGCAGGAGAGGUAAGCGGAAUUCCUAGUGUAGCGGUGAAAUGCGUAGAUAUUAGGAGGAACACCAGUGGCGAAGGCGGCUUACUGGACUGUAACUGACACUGAGGCACGAAAGCGUGGGGAGCAAACAGGAUUAGAUACCCCUGUAGUC
rnacentral:rRNA from 1 species